GACGGGGCCCGCACAAGCGGUGGAGUAUGUGGUUUAAUUCGAUGCAACGCGAAGAACCUUACCUGGCCUUGACAUCCCGGGAAUUUCCUGGAAACAGGAGAGUGCUUUCAUUAGAGAGAACCUGGAGACAGGUGCUGCAUGGCUGUCGUCAGCUCGUGUCGUGAGAUGUUGGGUUAAGUCCCGCAACGAGCGCAACCCUUGCCUUUAGUUGCCAGCAGUUCGGCUGGGCACUCUAAAGGGACUGCCGGUGUCAAACCGGAGGAAGGCGGGGAUGACGUCAAGUCCUCAUGGCCUUUAUGGCCAGGGCUACACACGUACUACAAUGGCCGGUACAAAGGGCAGCGACAUUGCGAGAUGGAGCGAAUCCCGAAAAGCCGGUCUCAGUCCGGAUUGGAGUCUGCAACUCGACUCCAUGAAGUUGGAAUCGCUAGUAAUCGUGGAUCAGCAUGCCACGGUCGAAUACGUUCCCGGGCCUU
rnacentral:rRNA from 1 species